rnacentral:tRNA from 1 species
GCGCGGGUGUCGUAAUGGUAGCCGAGCACGCUUGAGGUGCGUGUGCCGAAAGGCGUGGAGGUUCGAAUCCUCUCCCGCGCACCA